rnacentral:ncRNA from 1 species
GAAAGGUCGUGCUAUCUAACGGCUGGUUCUGACUGGUUCAGGGCCCAAUUUGA